rnacentral:lncRNA from 1 species
CAUUCACGCCCAAAGUCUUACCGUGACGUGCUGUGGGGAGAAAGUCCUUGUGUGCAAAUGUGAGUGCCAGCUGCUAACACUUUGUCUCAGCAAAAAGAGAGCCACUUGUGAACAAGCAGAACGGACGAGCCAAAAGAAAGUACGUCUUGUGGAUGUGGAUAGCGUGACUCAAAGCUGACCUAGCGGGAAGCAGAGAUUAGAGAUUUGGCACCAGCUCUGUUAGAAGUGAAGGUGUGACUCACAGAAGCUUGGGGAUUCACACCAUCUUUGCAGAACUGCUGCGAGGGCUGGGCACUGAGGGCCUCUGCGCUGGCCACGUCUGGGACCAGUUUCCCUCUGAAGUUAAGGGAACCUUUCCAUUCUAAAACUGUAUCUGCAGUACAUGUUAUCAUCGUAUUGAAAACACGCUCUGUGAGGAUGCAUAAGCAAUUCACCUUGAUGAUAAACUGGUUUUCAAAUUUGAAGUCAUCGUUACAACAGAAAAUGGAGGUGAAGAGCUCAUGAAAAUGCAGAAGGCAGGGAAGACAAGGCAGUGCAGGUUGGUGGCUCACAAUGCAGCUUGAGUUGUUCCUUUAUAGUUUACUGAUUUAAUUGCAACAAAGAUUAAUAGUCUCAGGGUUACUGACAGUGUCCUGUUUUAAAAGCUUCCAUAUAACCUUGUGAAUUGAAAUGAUGAUUUUUUCUUUCCCGAA